UACGAAGGGGGCUAGCGUUGUUCGGAUUUACUGGGCGUAAAGCGCACGUAGGCGGAUCGUUAAGUCGGGGGUGAAAUCCUGGAGCUCAACUCCAGAACUGCCUUCGAUACUGGCGAUCUUGAGUCCGGAAGAGGUGAGUGGAACUCCUAGUGUAGAGGUGGAAUGCGUAGAUAUUCGCAAGAACACCAGUGGCGAAGGCGGCUCACUGGCCCGGUACUGACGCUGAGGUGCGAAAGCGUGGGGAGCAAACAGG
rnacentral:rRNA from 1 species